GAUGAACGCUGGCGGCGUGCCUAAUACAUGCAAGUCGAGCGAAUGGAUUAAGAGCUUGCUCUUAUGAAGUUAGCGGCGGACGGGUGAGUAACACGUGGGUAACCCGCCCAUAAGACUGGGAUAACUCUGGGAAACCGGGGCUAAUACCGGAUAACAUUUUGAACUGACCGGUUCGAAAUUGAAAUGCGGCUUCGGCUGGCUCUGAUGGAUGGACUCCAGUCGCAUUAGCUAGUUGGAGAGGUAACGGCUCACCAAGGCAACAAUGCGCAGCCGACCUGAGAGGGUGAUCGGCCACACUGGGACUGAGACACGGCCCAGACUCCUACGGGAGGCAGCAGUAGGGAAUCUUCCGCAAUGGACGAAAGUCUGACGGAGCAACGCCGCGUGAGUGAUGAAGGCUUUCGGGUCGUAAAACUCUGUUGUUAGGGAAGAACAAGUGCUAGUUGAAUAAGCUGGCACCUUGACGGUAACUAACCAGAAAGCCACGGCUAACUACGUGCCAGCCGCCGCAGUAA
rnacentral:rRNA from 1 species